rnacentral:tRNA from 1 species
GCGGGUGUAGUUAAGUGGACAACGAUAGCUACACGCUUACUUCUAUGUGAAAAGGACGAUAGCUUCAAUCUUGCUGAUAUCUAUCUAACGGGAUCGCCUAGAAGUACGAAAAGCUAAUUUCGUGGGUUCGAUUCCCACCACCCGCUCCA